UACGUAGGGGGCAAGCGUUGUCCGGAAUCAUUGGGCGUAAAGCGCGUGUAGGCGGCCCGAUAAGUCCGCUGUGAAAGUCCAGGGCUCAACCCUGGGAUGCCGGUGGAUACUGUCGGGCUCGAGUCCGGAAGAGGAGUGUGGAAUUCCUGGUGUAGCGGUGAAAUGCGCAGAUAUCAGGAGGAACACCAAUGGCGAAGGCAGCACUCUGGGACGUGACUGACGCUGAGACGCGAAAGCGUGGGGAGCGAACAGG
rnacentral:rRNA from 1 species